GGCGAGAUGGCCGAGCGGUCUAAGGCGCCAGACUAAGGUUCCCUAUCAUCGCAGUGCAUGCUUUAAUCUGGUCCGAAAGGGCGUGGGUUCGAAUCCCACUCUCGUCA